AUUUCAGGGUGCUUGCAUGGAGAGAGAGGGAGAGAGCAUGGGCAAAUGAUUGAGAUUGCCCCAAUGUGAAAAACACUUUGAAAAUGCUGAUGAUUGACCUCUCAUUGAGGAGAGAGGGAAGAAGGACGAACGAAAAUGAGGUUUUCUCUGAUGGCAAGUCAAUUUAAGAGAACCCUCUGAUCAAUGAGUGUGCUUGGUUAAGCUCUUUGAAGAUUGGUUUGAACAACAUUCCAAGAAAAGACAUAGGUGCAAAUGCUAUAAAACUGGAGUGCACAGGUGUUUUUACGAAACCAAAAGCAAUGUGGCUGGGGCAAGUAAGCAACAAAGCAAGAAGACUGUGGGAAGAUGACAUUGUGCACAGACAAGAUUAUGUGGCGCCUUGAGGGACGUGGCAAGAAGUUGGAUUUUAGUUUCCUGCAGUAAAAACCUAUUGAUGGUGAUCUGAUUACAUUGAACAUCUCAGAAACAAAAUUAUGGCUGCUGGUUGGAUGAUAGGAGAAUAAGAGUGGAAAGCAAGGAGAUGGAAACUUAACAAGCGGUUGAUGUAAAUUUGGCUAGAGAUGAUGGUGAAUUUGUAAUCACUAAGAGGUGGUAGGAUUCAGGACAUAUGUUUUGAGGGAUCUUCCUGAUGAAUGAGAUGAGAGUGAGCAAAAGAGUGGAGUCAAGUGUGCAUGUUAGUUUUGUUUGUCUUCCCCUGAGGAAUUGGGUUGUCAUUGCUGCUGUUUGCUAAGAUGGGAAAAGCUUAGAAACAAGAACAUAAAAUA
rnacentral:lncRNA from 1 species